rnacentral:rRNA from 1 species
GGACCCGCACAAGCAGUGGAGUAUGUUGUUUAAUUCGACGCAACGCGAAGAACCUUACCAGGGUUUGACAUCCUUGGAAUCGGGCAGAGAUGCCUGAGUGCCCUUCGGGGAACCAAGAGACAGGUGGUGCAUGGUUGUCGUCAGCUCGUGUCGUGAGAUGUUGGGUUAAGUCCCGCAACGAGCGCAACCCUUAUGGUUAGUUGCUACGCAAGAGCACUCUAGCCAGACUGCCGUUGACAAAACGGAGGAAGGUGGGGACGACGUCAAAUCAUCAUGCCUUUUAUAUCCUGGGCUACAAACGUACUACAAUGGCGGUCAUACAGAGGGAGGCAAAGCAGUGAUGUGGAGCGAAUCCCUAAAAGCCGCCUCAGUUCAGAUUGCAGGCUGCAACCCGCCUGCAUGAAGUCGGAAUUGCUAGUAAUCGCGGAUCAGCAUGCCGCGGUGAAUACGUUCCCGGGUCUU